rnacentral:siRNA from 1 species
CCAGGCUGACCUCGCCCA